AUUGAACGCUGGCGGCAGGCCUAACACAUGCAAGUCGAGCGGAUGAAGGGAGCUUGCUCCUGGAUUCAGCGGCGGACGGGUGAGUAAUGCCUAGGAAUCUGCCUGGGAGUGGGGGAUAACGUCCGGAAACGGGCGCUAAUACCGCAUACGUCCUGAGGGAGAAAGUGGGGGAUCUUCGGACCUCACGCUAUCAGAUGAGCCUAGGUCGGAUUAGCUAGUUGGUGGGGUAAAGGCCUACCAAGGCGACGAUCCGUAACUGGUCUGAGAGGAUGAUCAGUCACACUGGAACUGAGACACGGUCCAGACUCCUACGGGAGGCAGCAGUGGGGAAUAUUGGACAAUGGGCGAAAGCCUGAUCCAGCCAUGCCGCGUGUGUGAAGAAGGUCUUCGGAUUGUAAAGCAAUUUAAGUUGGGAGGAAGGGCAGUAAGUUAAUACCUUGCUGUUUUGACGUUACCAACAGAAUAAGCACCGGCUAACUUCGUG
rnacentral:rRNA from 1 species